UGGGGAAUAUUGCACAAUGGGCGCAAGCCUGAUGCAGCCAUGCCGCGUGUGUGAAGAAGGCCUUCGGGUUGUAAAGCACUUUCAGCGAGGAGGAAGGGUAGUGUGUUAAUAGCACAUUGCAUUGACGUUACUCGCAGAAGAAGCACCGGCUAACUCCGUGCCAGCAGCCGCGGUAAUACGGAGGGUGCAAGCGUUAAUCGGAAUUACUGGGCGUAAAGCGCACGCAGGCGGUUUGUUAAGUCAGAUGUGAAAUCCCCGCGCUUAACGUGGGAACUGCAUUUGAAGCUGGCAAGCUAGAGUCUUGUAGAGGGGGGUAGAAUUCCAGGUGUAGCGGUGAAAUGCGUAGAGAUCUGGAGGAAUACCGGUGGCGAAGGCGGCCCCCUGGACAAAGACUGACGCUCAGGUGCGAAAGCGUGGGGAGCAAACA
rnacentral:rRNA from 1 species